UGGCUCAGCGAUUAAAGCGUCUGCCUGGAAUGCAGAAGCCCCGGGUUCGAUCCCUGG
rnacentral:tRNA from 1 species